rnacentral:rRNA from 1 species
GUUUCCCUACGGGGCGCAGCAGUGGGGGAUAUUGCACAAUGGGGGAAACCCUGAUGCAGCGACGCCGCGUGUGGGAAGACGGUCCUCUGGAUUGUAAACCACUGUCCCCAGGGACGAAGAUGACGGUACCUGACCAAGAAGCCCCGGCUAACUACGUGCCAGCAGCCGCGGUAAUACGUAGGGGGCAAGCGUUAUCCGGAUUUACUGGGUGUAAAGGGGGCGCAGACGGCGAUGCAAGCCGGGAGUGA